rnacentral:rRNA from 1 species
GGCGGCGUGCCUGAGACAUGCAAGUCGUGGGAGAAAGUCGUAGCAAUACGGCUAGUAAACCGGCGCACGGGUGAGUAACACGUGGAUAACCUGCCUUUGAGUCUGGGAUAACCCGUCGAAAGACGAGCUAAUACCGGAUAAGACCACGGGAAGUUCGCUUCCUGAGGUAAAAGAUGGCCUCUGCUCCUGCAAGCUAUCACUUUGAGAGGGGUCCGCGUCCUAUCAGCUAGUUGGCGAGGUAACGGCUCACCAAGGCUAAGACGGGUAGCUGGUCUGAGAGGAUGGUCAGCCACACUGGGACUGAGACACGGCCCAGAGUCCUACGGGAUGCAGCAGUCAGGAAUAUUGCGCAAUGGAGGAAACUCUGACGCAGCGACGCCGCGUGGGUGAUGAAGGCCUUCGGGUCGUAAAGCCCUGUCGGAGGGGAAGAAAAGUCUGUUGGCUAAUAUCCAAUGGACCUUUGACGGUACCCUCAAAGGAAGCACCGGCUAACUCCGUGCCAGCAGCCGCGGUAAGACGGAAGGUGCAAGCGUUGUUCGGAUUGACUGGGCGUUAAGGGCGUGU